rnacentral:rRNA from 1 species
GACGAACGCUGGCGGCGUGCUUAAUACAUGCAAGUCGAGCGGAGUCUUGUGAGGAGCUUGCUCUGAGCAAGACUUAGCGGCGGACGGGUGAGUAACGCGUGGGCAAUCUGCCCUCAAGGCCGGGAUAACAGUUCGAAAGGACUGCUAAUACCGGAUGAGGCCAAGAUGGGACAUCCCAAUUUGGCCAAAGGAGAGAUCCCUUUGAGGAUGAGCCCGCGUCCCAUUAGCUAGUUGGUGAGGUAACGGCCCACCAAGGCGACGAUGGGUAGCCGGCCUGAGAGGGUGAACGGCCACACUGGGACUGAGACACGGCCCAGACUCCUACGGGAGGCAGCAGUAGGGAAUCUUCCGCAAUGGGCGAAAGCCUGACGGAGCGACGCCGCGUGGGUGAUGAAGGUCUUCGGAUUGUAAAACCCUGUCUUAAGGGACGAAACCCCCGAAAGGGGACUGACGGUACCUUAGGAGGAAGCCCCGGCUAACUACGUGCCAGCAGCCGCGGU